rnacentral:lncRNA from 10 species
CUGUGAAGGAGGCCACCCAAACUGUCUCACUGGUUCUAGGUACACAAAACCCAAAUCUGAGAAAUCCACUAGAUUGGCAGAAGCAAAGGGACUCAGUACCACAGGAAGUUCGCUUUUCUGUGUCACUAUAUCAAAAGCUACCACAAAUGCAGACAAUAACGGCUCUUUAAUAUUAAAGGGAAAAGCUAACCUGUCCAGCUACAGCAGCAAAGUAACCAUACAGCGGAUCCUGAGUUUGUCCGGGAAACGCAGGCCCUCCGGGAGCCCCUCCAUACUGUGAAACAGGAAACACAUACACGUCAUUCUGCCGAAUCAAGUUUUCUUCUUUCACCACUGAGGGCUUUUGUGCAAGGCCAGACAACUGCCCGCCUGCCCGCCCUUCACAAGGCUCACCUCCCCACCACCGGGCACACUCUGCCAACACUCCACCCCUCUCUUCCAUUCACACCCCGUAAUUUAAAAACUGGCGACUUAGACCAUAAAGAGUUGCUGUGAAAGUGAUGUCUACAUAUGUAAAGCAACUUUUAAAAUCCCUAUUAACCUGAAGGUUACUGAGGAGAAGAAUGUGUCUCUGGUAGCCAAUUGAUCCAAAAAGGAUCUGACAUUUUCAGAUGUGGAACCAAGGCCAGCCAAGCCCAGCCAAGCCCAGCAUAGAUCCGAUCCGCCAAAGCCCAACUGUCUUACAGAUGUAUAAACUGGAAUAAAUGUUGCUUUAUAC